AACGAACGCUGGCGGCAUGCCUAACACAUGCAAGUCGAACGAGACCUUCGGGUCUAGUGGCGCACGGGUGCGUAACGCGUGGGAACCUGCCCUUAGGUUCGGAAUAACUCCCCGAAAGGGGUGCUAAUACCGGAUAAUGUCUUCGGACCAAAGAUUUAUCGCCUUUGGAUGGGCCCGCGUUGGAUUAGCUAGUUGGUAGGGUAAAAGCCUACCAAGGCGACGAUCCAUAGCUGGUCUGAGAGGAUGAUCAGCCGCACUGGGACUGAGACACGGCCCAGACUCCUACGGGAGGCAGCAGUGGGGAAUAUUGGACAAUGGGCGAAAGCCUGAUCCAGCAAUGCCGCGUGAGUGAUGAAGGCCUUAGGGUUGUAAAGCUCUUUUACCCGGGAUGAUAAUGACAGUACCGGGAGAAUAGGCGCCGGCUAACUCCGUG
rnacentral:rRNA from 1 species